rnacentral:rRNA from 1 species
CGAUGAUGCAUAGCCGAGUUGAGAGACUGAUCGGCCACAUUGGGACUGAGACACGGCCCAAACUCCUACCGGGAGGCGAGCAGUAGGGAAUCUUCCACAAUGGACGCAAGUCUGAUGGAGCAGCGCCGCGUGAGUGAAGAAGGUUUUCGGAUCGUAAAGCUCUGUUGUUGGUGAAGAAGGAUAGAGGUAGUAACUGGCCUUUAUUUGACGGUAAUCAACCAGAAAGUCACGGCUAACUACGUGCCAGCAGCCGCGGUAAAU